GGGGAAUAUUGCACAAUGGGCGCAAGCCUGAUGCAGCGACGCCGCGUGCGGGAUGACGGCCUUCGGGUUGUAAACCGCUUUUGACUGGGAGCAAGCCCUUCGGGGUGAGUGUACCUUUCGAAUAAGCACCGGCUAACUACGUGCCAGCAGCCGCGGUAAUACGUAGGGUGCAAGCGUUAUCCGGAAUUAUUGGGCGUAAAGGGCUCGUAGGCGGUUCGUCGCGUCCGGUGUGAAAGUCCACCGCUUAACGGUGGAUCCGCGCCGGGUACGGGCGGGCUUGAGUGCGGUAGGGGAGACUGGAAUUCCCGGUGUAACGGUGGAAUGUGUAGAUAUCGGGAAGAACACCAAUGGCGAAGGCAGGUCUCUGGGCCACUACUGACGCUGAGAAGCGAAAGCGUGGGGAGCGAAC
rnacentral:rRNA from 1 species